GGCUAUAAUGGAAAGUUGGAAUGAGGUAAGAUUUACUUAAUAGUCUUCUUGUCAUUUGUAGUUUUGUUCCCCAUUAGUGUACAAUUAGAUACAAGUAUGUGAUAAUUUGAGAUAAAAACUAGUAGAAUUCUAAGUGAACUACCAAACUACUUAUUCCAAAAACAAAAAAAACAAAACUGGGACAUAGCAAGGUGCACUCAAAA
rnacentral:lncRNA from 1 species